CCAGCACCUGCGGUAAUUCCAGCUCCAAUAGCGUAUAUUAAAGUUGUUGCGGUUAAAAAGCUCGUAGUUGGAUCUCGGCAGGUAGGGGGUGGUCUGCUUGCUAGCAGCACUUCCCCAGUUACCUGUGUUUUUGGCAGAUGUGGUUGGGUGCUCUUCAUCGAGUGUCCAGCGACGCUGUCAACUUUACUUUGAAAAAAUUAGAGUGCUCAAAGCAGGCUUUACACGCUUGAAUAUUCGUGCAUGGAAUAAUGGAAUAGGAAGUCGUUUCUAUUUUGUUGGUUUUCGGAAAUCGACUUAAUGAUUAAUAGGGACAAUCGGGGGCAUUAGUAUUCAGACGACAGAGGUGAAAUUCUUGGACCGUCUGAAGACUAGCUACUGCGAAAGCAUUUGCCAAGAGUGUUGUCAUUAAUCAAU
rnacentral:rRNA from 1 species